UACGUAGGUGGCAAGCGUUGUCCGGAAUUAUUGGGCGUAAAGCGCGCGCAGGCGGCCUUUUAAGUCUGAUGUGAAAGCCCACGGCUCAACCGUGGAAGGUCAUUGGAAACUGAAAGGCUUGAGUAUAGAAGAGGAAAGCGGAAUUCCACGUGUAGCGGUGAAAUGCGUAGAGAUGUGGAGGAACACCAGUGGCGAAGGCGGCUUUCUGGUCUGUAACUGACGCUGAGGCGCGAAAGCGUGGGGAGCAAACAGG
rnacentral:rRNA from 1 species